UACGUAGGGGGCAAGCGUUGUCCGGAAUUAUUGGGCGUAAAGAGCGCGUAGGCGGUCCGGUAAGUCGGCUGUGAAAGUCAAGGGCUCAACCCUUGAAAGCCGGCCGAUACUGUCGGACUAGAGUCCGGAAGAGGCGAGUGGAAUUCCCGGUGUAGCGGUGAAAUGCGCAGAUAUCAGGAAGAACACCCGUGGCGAAGGCGGUUCUCUGGGACGGUACUGACGCUGAGACGCGAAAGCGUGGGGAGCGAACAGG
rnacentral:rRNA from 1 species